GGAGGCAUGGCUCAACUGUAGAGCACCUGACUAACAAGCAGGAAGCCUGGAAUUCAAACCCCAGUACUCCCA
rnacentral:tRNA from 1 species